rnacentral:misc_RNA from 1 species
CUGAAUUAACGAAGGGUUGUUGCUGGCUCCUUGGAGUAUGUGCACGCCUUUCGAAAUUCUUCUUAAACCAUUUGUGCACUUGUGUAGAUCAUGAUAACCCUCGGCCUUAUGGGCUGGAUAGAGAGACUUGCUUUGGCUGUCUUUCAAUUUCGUGGUCUACGUUUUAUAUCAUAUACUAAAGUCUAAGAAUGUUGCUUGUGGGUCUUUAUUGGCCUAUAAAAUUAAUA